rnacentral:misc_RNA from 1 species
UCCUUCACGAGUUGCGCUGCUUCAUGCCAUCUGCCCUUCGGGGGUUCUUUAACCCUCUCACAUCUUCUACCCCCUACACAUACACAACUCUAAUCUGAUCAGCGGCCUGUGCGUCAUGUUUAACAAGCUCGUCGCCGAUCUUCUCACCUCCCACCUGGGGGAAUACUUUGAAAACAUCGAUCGCGAACACGUCAAGGUGUCGGUGUGGAAUGGCCUCGUGCAUAUGCGGAAUUUGAAGGUGCGGCAAGACGCACUGCGCUUCCUGGACGUGCCUGUGUGUGUGCUCAUGGGCACCAUCGAGGAGCUGACCAUUGUCAUUCCUUGGACGCGCCUGCGAUCAGAAUCGGUGGUGGUGCAGAUUCGAAAGGCUCAGCUUAUUCUCGCGGACAAAGAAACCGCUGGCUAUAGCAUCGACCAAGACGUCAGAGAGGCCCGCGCACGCAAGAUUCGAGAGUUGGCCGCGACGGAUGAGGCGCUUCUGAUGGCUUUCCGCGAAGACCUGUCGCAGGCAAGCAACUCUGCACCGGCGCCAACCUCGGUGCCGCCGCCGACAGCCGACGCGGCUGAUAGCAGCGACAGCAACUUUACCGCCCGCCUGAAGGCCAGCAUUCUGAACAACAUUCGCGUUGAGGUGGAAGAGGUGUGGGUGCACUACACAUCCUGCGUCGCCUGUGCAGCCCCAGGUGGCGAUGACGUGGUUUCAGGCGGGGUCGUCGGUGAAGCAUCAACGCUGAAGCCACCGCAGGGGCAUCCGCCGCACUCGAUGCGCUCUCCACCCUCGCCAAGCGCGCACAUAGACGCUUCGGUGCCGCUAUCCGCCCAGCAGGCGUCGCUCUCCUUUCAAAUCAAAGAGAUCAAAACGCGCGGGUGCAACGAGCGCUUUGAGCCGGCCUUCGUCGCCCCAGGGGAGCGUGUGGCGCGGCAGCUCAUCUCCUUUCGCGGCCUCGCAGCCUCGCUGCGCACCAGCACGAGCAACGAAAGAGAACUCUCUUUACUGAAGCCGUUCGAUGUGGCAGUGGAGCUUGCCUACCAGCCCGUCUACACGGACGUCUCGACCCCGCAGUACAUGGCCGCCGUGCGCAUGGAUGACGCGUGCUCGUGCACCAUCACAAGCGAGAGGUGCACAACGUGCUAUGGCCUCGUGCAGUACUUGGUGCACGUGCGACAACGGCAGGCGCUUCGUCGGCUACGCCCUAUCGGGGAGCGUCUGAGAGCUAACCCGCGUGCGUGGUGGCGGUACACUCUGGACGCGGUACGACAGCAGGUUCAAAAUAACAGGACCGCGGCACUGGCGUCCGCUGGCAAGUUAACGCCUUUUUCGUGGCUCGCCUACACCUCGAUGAAGCAGAAGCGUGAUCGAUACAUGCGACUGUACCUGCGGCAACAACGAAUUUCACUCAGGGCAACGGGAUGGCUGGAGCCCCUGACGGUGGACGAGCACGUGGAGCUGGUCGCGCUAGAGGACGAGCUGUCGAUCGACGUGCUAAAGCUCGGGAAGCGACUCGCCAUGAGGCGAGUCGGCGUGGAGCGCGUCGAGUAUGAAAAGUUGCUUCGUGAGAAGAGGGCAGCGGCCAGCGCAGGUGAGACAGACACCCCAAGCCCUGUGCGCCCCAGCGCGCCGCCCGCUCAGCUGCUCGCCACAGUGGUGAAAGGCGGGUGGUUCUCGUUUUGGCGCUCGGGGUCGCAGCCGACAGCUUCGGCAAGCGUUCGCGCCAGCGGUGCCGCCGACGACGGCCUGAGUGAGGAGGCCCGUGCCGAGCUGCGGGAACUCGUGCAACUCAUGACGGCUGAGCAAUGGACAGAUGCGCAGCGAGCAGUCAUUGCACAAGAGCUCGGCAUGUCCCCUGAGGAGGCAAAGGCCCUUUCGCGAUCCGACACAUCGCUGACUGCGUCGACUCCCGAUCCAGCAACCGCGGACCUAUCAAAAAAACCUAUCCGUCAUCGCGGCGUCCCCAGCUGUGUCGUCUUCCUCCACGCCAAGGAGCUGAGGGUGGAACUGCAGAGCAGAGCAUUGAGGGCGCCAAGCACACCAUCCCUCAUUAGAGGUAAAGUCGCGGCCUCCACUACAGCACCCGAAACGCUUGCCCAAGUGGCACUGCACACCCUCCAGGCAGGUGUCGAGUGGGGAGGAGUCAGCGCUGCUAGUGGGUCGGCUCUGGGGGCUGCGUACUACUGGGGAGCCAUGGAGCGCUUCUCCAUCACAGCCGCCUCUCUCGCGGCGCCGGAGACCCGGCAGUUCACGCAUGCGCCGACAGAGGAGGUGAUUUUCGCCAUAUGUCGUACAGGCGUGCAGCAGGAUGGCUCACAGAGCGAUUUGUCGUGUCCUCUUCGAAGCACUAGCGGCGCUGGCAGCCCGCGCACAUCAGCUGCGAAUGUGGCCGAGCGAGAAGCAUCGGUGCACCAAUCACGGUUUCGCACCUUCUCUCCCCUCGAGUCCUGCUGGUCUAUCGUGCCGGACGAGUGCCACCGCCACGCCGCUGUGAAGGUGGAGUGGACAGCGCGAUCUGCUCAGCAGCUGACGUCUCGGGCAUCGGCGCUUCAUUGCGUGCGCGUUGGGCUGGCACUCGUGCAUGUGGUCAUUGAUGUUGUACCGCUGCGUCACUUGAGCGACUUUUUGUUUACGGUAAUGUGGCCCGAAAGAGCGCUGUCGCACUCGGCCGCUAGUGACAGUGUGGGCGACGCACAAGUCUAUACAUCACCCCCGAUAGAUGCCAACGUUGAUGGCGACUUCACAGCGUUGGCAAUGCCUGUGUCACCGCGCAUGACGUACGCUGAGCAGCGCUGUGCGACAGAUGAGGACGCGCGGCUCGUUGUUCUGCGGCGCAGGGUGGAGCAACAGCGUUCCAUUGACUGGUCGGUGGCAGUGGAUGCCGUGCGCAUCUCCCUCUCCGAGGUACCACAGGUCCAGGGCUGCGAGCUCGCCUUGACGCAAUUGUGUCUGCGCAAUGAUGCAGUGCACCGCCUACAGCUGCAGGGGCGCUUGCGCAGGGAAGUAAGCGAGAAUCAUUCUAACGCAAGCACCUCCCCGACGACGACGGCCACCGCCGCUGCAGCGCUCGGCUCACUUGACACGGAUUGGAUCGACUGCUUUCACGUUCGGAUGGCCGCCGCGCGUCUCUCUGUGUUCUUCCCACGAAACGACCCUUCUGCUGACGGGCCGCUCUCCAUUGAGAGGGGCGUGCUGCUGCCUGACACGGCCAUCGCCGCGGUGGUAGAGCGGAGUCUUUUGGGGCGAUGCCACCCCAAUCUGCCUCAGUGGAGCCUUCGCAUGUCCUCCAGCGAUGCCGUCAGUCUGACAUGGUCGCGCACCAGCCUCUCGGUGCUCACGACCGCCUGUACCAUGCUGACAGACUUGGCAGCAUCGGUCGAGCUUAAUAUUCAGGAGCGUGGUGCCCGACAAAUGGGCGCGGCGCAAAGUCCAGAGAGCGAAGCCGUUUACAUGUGUCGCGUGCGCGUGCUUCCGCACACGACAGGAAAGAGGUUCUGGCCCGCUGCGCAUGCGCGUCAAGGAGCUGCCGGCGACGUCGAUGACGACGCUCCGCCGCACGCAGCAGACGAACUGGAGUCGCGCUACAAGCAGCUGCAUCCGUUCUCUGCAGCACGGCAGCACUCCACGUUGGCGGCCGCUGUCUCUCUUCCUCAGCGAGUCAGCGUGCGUCUUGGCGUGUGUGCUGUCUACCACGCACAACGCUCAACGUUCCCGGCGCAGUAUUACACGCUGCAGGACGGCUGCACGCACGUCCUCCUCGACGGCGAGAACGAUUCUGGGGGCACGGCCGCUGCUAGUGUCACCGCAGGGCCUUGUGUGCACCUUUACGUCUCACAGGGCGGCAGGAAUCACGAGGAAGCGCUGGCAAGCGGCUACCGGGAUGCAAAGCGGUUGCUGCUUGACAAACUGAAGGUGCCGCCGGCGCUCCUCGAAAACGCGUUCUGGCUGAAGCGGGCUGUCAACGCGUGGCUGGAGAAAGGGAACGCGGUAGAGGGGGACAACAACGCGCCCUCACAGGAGCAGGUUCGAAAGGCUCUGAGUCGCGUCCUUGCGCACACGCAGGCGGUUCCCUGUCGCUACGUCGCCUUCCAGUGCGCCAGCGAUGCCGAGGCACGCGCCUUCGCGACGGCGCUGCGCCGCUGCUGUGUGUCUGAAGCUACGCCACCGUUGCUGCUUCGCCCCUCCGUGCAGGCCCGCUACAGCACCGCCGUGUCAGCACCAGAGCUACGCAAGCAGCCCCUCUACGGGGUGACGGUAUCUUUUCCCUCGCUGCGCAUGACGUGCGAAGGAAGCGAGCCUGCUGUGUGCUUGCAUGCUUUGGAGACGAACAGCGACUCCGCCGAUGCCUGUCGAUCCCCUCGCCGCGACGCAGUCUUAUCUUUCACGCCGUUUCUCCUGCGCCACGACUGCUACCGUGAUAAGCAGAGCUACGAACUCAGCGUUGCAACUAGCGUGGCGUUGUGCGCCCGCUUCGGUGGUAAUGCGGCGCACGACAGUGAUGUGAAACUUUUCGAUGUGAGCGUGCCAUCGAGCUCUUCCACGAACGACAUCAGCGGCAGCCGGACCGCAGGAGACUCCAUCGCGUUUUUCAUGCGUUUUGUGCACUACAGGCGCCCGUCGCCGCUGCCAUCUUCGAGGCGGUGCACCAUGCGCGUCGGACCAUCCGCGCGGAUGUGUCUGCGGGCCGGCCCAACUCUGUUGGAGUGCGGUGAGGCGUUCUGGGACACGAUAGGGCUGCUCACGAACCGGCUGUUUGGCGCAGAAGUCAUUGCCGGCUAUCCGUGGUGGCGGUCGCUUGGUAGUGACGAGGACACGCGGAAGGAAGAAGUAGGCGAAGGCGCGGACGUGAGCUCGAGAAUCACCACGAAUGUCGAGGUGGGGUGGGGUGGAGCCAGCGAGUGCGGUGGCAACGCACUGUGUACUCAUGUCGACGUGACCGCGCCUGCGCUACAGGUAAACGUGGACCUCGAAGGCGCUGCGGACGAGCCUAUGGUGUCUAGGGACAUUCCUGUGCUUCGAUUCAAAGCGCUUGGCCCGGUCCUGGAGUGGCGCACGACAGAAGCAUGCGAUCACGUGCGGAUGACCGCCGAGAGCCCACAACUGCAGUGGUGCUGCCCCUCAGCUACCGGGGCUGUGCCGGGCAAGGCGAACUGGGUCACACUCAUGCAGCCGGACGGCGCUUCCACGCCCAGUGAAUCACGCGUCGACAGCGCGAAACUGUCGGUAGACUGGAAGCGGCAUAGGCUACCGCCAAUGCUCUCUUUCUCCGAUUGGUUGUGCGGAAGGGACGGCGGUGGUGAGGACGUCGAGGGUGCCUGUGUUAUGGGCAUCCGCGAUCAGCAAGAGCUCAAGUUGGAGCUGCGUCGUGUGCGACUGCUCUUCUUGUACCCCUUGCUCAUGCAUCUCCUCGGAUCCAUUCGAGAGGGUCUUGUGGAGCGCGCCUCGGCGGUGGUGGUGCGGGAGCCGUGCUGGUUCUGCGCGGGGGCGCUGCUCUGCCCCCCGCUAUCGUGGCGGGCUCCUGAAAAGGCCACGGCGGCUGUGUCGUGGACGCAUGUGCGUAAGUCUGUGACCCUGAAAUCGGUCGUGCUACAGACGCCGAGGCAGGUAGACUGGUUGGCGCAAGCGGUCACUUCUGCGCCGCUGCCAUCGCCGGCGCCCCACCUCCUCCUCGCGGCGGCGCACCUUCUCUUUACCGACCGUGUGCAAGUUCCAGCCUCGUCUUCCACCUCCGACCAGUCACCGGCGGCAACAGCGGUAGACAUCGUAUACGACAUCCACUCCUCUGACAUGUUCAUCUCUCAUGCUCAGCCGAGUUCGGGAGCACCAUUUCAGUGGCGCUUUCCCAGUUGGCACGUCAAUAUCGCUCAUUCUGUGUUCGAUGCGCGAUGUUUAUGGGCAGCCGGCGGACCGCGGCGUAAGUCCUUUGUGGUGGUCCUACCGUCAAGGACGGAGUCGUGCGUUCUGCGUUGCUCGAGCGCCGAUCUCACGCACGUGAUGGACGUCGUUCACGCCAACUUUUUCCGGCCCACCGCGUUCGGCAAGGAGAUGGAGUCAGACGCGGUAGACGCGUCUUCACCUGCCUCGCUGCUCAAGGCGGUCGCGGAGGAGAGCACGUGGACAUUGAGUGUGAAGGGAGCGGCGACGCUGUGUAUCAGCACGUCGCGGUCCAAUUCCAGCCACAGUGGCGGCCAGUCUAUGCAAUGCCUGCUGCGGCUCAACGACGCUACUGCUUCUGCGGUGCGCUCUGCCAGCGGAGAGCUGAGUUGCUCCUUCGCAGCGCAGCAGGUGUGGCUCGGCUGCGGCGCGCCGAGUACGGCGACAUCAGACUUGCCGGAAAGCGAUGGGCUAUGUAUUCUUCAGGUGGCACCGUUGCACAGCGCCGCCGCUACGCCAGCCGCGUCUCUCAGGGUGCAGUGUAGUUGGCGUUGGCUGGUAACCCCCAAGGUGGACUCGACAAGCGCCACUGGCACCGCGGCCCUUCCAGAGAGAGCGGUCUUCCUCUCUGUGGAGUCGUUUGGUGCGGUAACAGCCACUGUCAACGGCGAGGCAGUCGUAAUUCUCCGGGCAAUGGUCGUUGACGACCGGCAGCUGCGUGCGAGCCUCCUCCGCUACAUGGACCAGGCACCGCCGUCAGCGUCAAGAGCCAGGACACCGACACCCUCUCACGAGUCCAGUGGUGGUAACGCCAGUGACGGGCGAGCAAAGCAAGUGGGGCGCAUUCGCCUUCAACAUCUCGAGUGCCGUAUUCCAUGCUCUGCCGUGCCCGCAUACUCCCCCAGCUCCGCAGCACCCACGCCUAGCACGCCGGCACUUGUGCUGAGCUGUGCGAUAUCGAGGGUGCAAGUCGAGCUGUGCAAGAAUCCGAAUGCGUCGUAUGCGAUGGUGCGGGUUGCCCGACUUGUUCGCUGCGUGCUCGAAGACACCAGCAGCGGCGGCUCUGUCGUGACGGCCAUUCCGCUCGCGCUGGAACAACCGACGGAGUGGCGAGCGCCCGUGGCGGCGUUCCCUCGGCCCCGUCGUCACGCAUCACCGCACGCACGCGUAGCGUCGGGCUCGCCGAUGGGGCCACCGAAGCCGAAAGACGCCAGCCUGCUCGAUGAGCUGUUCGGAGAGCUGCCGGCGGCGAAACACGACAGCGCACUGCCAACAAAGGCGGCAUCACCGGAAAGUGACGUGUUCUACGUGGCGCUGGAGAAUGCACCCAUGCAGUGCAAGGUUAUCCUCGAUUUACAGCCGCUGUGGCUUUUCGCACCUUCGAUGAUGCACGCGGCAGCGAUGCUGGAUGGCGUGUGCACGCAGGUGAAGUUGUGCGCAGCGGCGCGGCUCCGCGACAGCGCAGCGCCUGCGUCACCUCAUUCUAUCAUCACGACGGCGACAUCCGCGUUACAUCGUAGCUAUGCACUGCAACUGCAGAGUGGGCGUAUUGCUUUGCUUGUAGGUGAAACGGAAGUGGCUGUGUCCGCCACGCCAGGAUACCCCUCUGUAUCCCUUGAGGCGGCGAUUCUGCGAGCUGUGGACGAACAGGAGAUGCUGGUGAUCGUCACGGAGGCGGCAUCAGUGGCCUGGAACUCAGUGAUCCAGGAGCGCGAGUGUUUUUUUGACGGUGCUCAAACAGUACUGCAUCUUCAGAGCAUCUCCAUCUCUGCCAUCCAAGGGAUGCAGAACGGCACAGUGCUCGUGGAGCGGUUUGGCAUCCGUGUUCAGCGUCAGCUGAUGCAGAGUGGGCAGUCCUUUGAGUCCUCCGCUGCUGCCGCCACAGGCGGCAUCGAGGAGUGGCGCCUUGGCAUGGAUGCGUUGCAUCUGACGCUGACGCAGCUCCACUACACAGCGCUACUCCGUGUGGCGCUUCAGCAAACAUCUUUCCUGGCAGCCAUUAUGAAGUACUUCUCGUCGGCGUCGCAGUCCAUAGCAGCCGCAGCCGCAGCCACCGCACCCGAUCUGACAGCGACAGCCGCGCCGCAGAAAUCGCAACAGCACCGCAACAGGCAAACGAACUCACCAUCCAAGGCAAGGUGUUUCCUCUUCCAUCUUUCUUCGCUGCGUCUGCGCGUGCACGCGGGCAACGGCGAUGAUGGGUCCGGCCAUCAAACGGCAGUGUACUUUGAGCUAAGCGAGCUCAAUGCAGCCUACUACGCUGGUCAGCACAACUGGUCCGGCAUAGCGGACGCCGACGAUGACCUCAACGAGCGAGGGGUAUCGCUUCGGCUGGUUGUGACGCUGGCCAGCUGCCUCCUCGGCACCGAAAACGUGAUUCCCACCCUUGCUGUCACGGCGGCUUCGUGCCGGGCCGCCACACGAGCAGCUCGCAAGUCUUGCUCGCUACGUGUCGUACAGGAGGAACAGACCAAGGCGUACAGAGGCGCGCUGCAGGCCGGGCAAGUCACAGUGACGGUUGAGGCCGUGCCGAUGAUGGCGUGGGUAGACCUCCUCUACACCCCGUACCUGCAGGUAACCGUGCCAGGCUACCAGUCGGCAAAAGAGCGCGUGGUGCAGCAGGAUUUGUGGCUCAGCGAGGAUUUGCUUCUGUCGGAGCGGACGCCGCUGCGCGUGACCAACAAGCUCUACAGCCUCAUGUACCUCUAUGGCAAUGGUCACACGAUUCACAUGAACGCCUCGCGGCACGGGAAGCUCAUUUUUCUCGAGGAAGGCGUGACACUGCGCAUCAUGAACGCCACCGUGUGCAUGACCGCCUUGUCGAUCGAGGCGUACGUCGCCGCCGGCAACGGCUCGUAUGUUGUGAUCGAUCCUGAGACCUGCAGCGUAGUGCCGCCACCGUCCGCGCUGGAGAGAGACGCUGCCGAUGUUGUCCGCUCGGCGGUUCUGCAGAUGGAUCACCAGCGGCGCACCGCAGCCGAGGAGUCCACCAAGGCCGUUGAAGAAGUAGCCUCUCCAAGGUGGCAGCGGUUUAUCGGCGAAGUCCAAGUCGAGCUGCGCAUUCCGGAGCCGCGCUCGGUCGCCGGCACAGCGUCCAUGUUGUGCGCCAGCACAGGCCACGCCUCAACCACGUGGGCUCAGCGCACCCUCGUUCUAUACACUGACAUGAACCUGUGCCUCGUGAACUCUAGAUCCGCUGCAACAGAUGAGGAUGAGCUGACGGGGGCGUUUGACCUGGCGCAUGCGGGCGUUCGAAGUGAGUAUUGUGCGCAGCACGGCGGCACCGCUGUCGACACGUCUGACCUUGUGUCAGACUGGGCCAUGAAAGUCCUGAUGACGGAAGAAAAGAGACGUCGCACUGGCGGGCCCGCUGGGUUGCCGGUGCGUCUUGACACGAUCCACGUCAGUGCUAGCACAGGCGUUGAGGUGCGGGUGCGGUACAGCGACGCCGUGUUCGUGGCACGGGCGGUGCGUCACGCGCAGGCGGCCGCAUCGCGCUGGCAAGAUGCGGUGCGUCGGGAUGUUUGGUCUGGCUUGUCCUCGCUGCACCGCGGCUGGGACGCGGUCGGAGCCGACAGCGAGGCGAGCGUAGGGUCGCUUGUGCAGGCACGCCAUUCCCGCAGCGGUGGGGAGGCGAGGAAUGUUUUGGCGGCCUCCGCCGGUGCCGACACCACCGUGGCCACCGUAUUGCUGCAAAUCCCAUACGUGAGCUUGUUCAUUAUCGACGACAGCCAAGACAACGACACCCCUCUUUUUUGCUUCUAUGCCAAUGAGAUCCACACUCCUCAAUGCGCACUCGAGUCUCUGCACACAAGCGCUGAGCUGCGCUUCGUGCUUCAGCUGGAGUACUAUGAGCUGUCCCGGUCACAGUGGGCGCCGGUUCUUGAACCAGUAGAGGUGAAGGUGUCCUUCAGCUCACGCAAGAACGCCUCUGUCAUGGACCUAUACGACCGGAAAGGGUAUGCGCGGCUCUCGACGCGCAUGAGCAGCGUUAAGCUGUGCUUCUCCUCAGAAAUGCUGCGCAACGUGCGGCAGCUACUGCUGCUGCGGGACAUGUUCGAGUCGGCUGGAGUUGAUGCGCUGGCCAUGCGCGGCACGUCAGACGGCGGUGUCGCAAGUGCAUCCGUCUUCCACGCAUUCAAGAUGGUGCAGACCAUCGGGCUUGAUGUCGUGGUUCAGCUGCCGGAAUACGUGGAGAAUCCGCAGGGCGUGCAGCGACGAGCAAGCGACAGCCACGACGACGAUGCCGCUUCCACGCGUGCGCGCGUGCUGCACGUCGGGCAGGAGUGGGAGUUCAAUCUACCACGAUAUCGUGGCAAGGAGCUUCCGCUAGAGCACCAGAAGAUCAUCGUGCAGCAGCAGCAGCAGGAACGCCCAUCUACCGCGCCGGCGUCAAAGGCAUGCGGAGCCGUGAUAACACUGGCGUCGGUUGGUGUGCAACGGGUAACUAUGGGCACCAGUGGGCCACUGCAGCGCUACAUCCUCGCCGACGUAUCUGUCCCACUUGAGCGCCAGGGUCAGAAGCAGGUUCUUCUGCACACACUUGUCACCUUCACGAAUCGGCUUAGCAUGCCGCUGCUGCAAGUUGUCGUGGACGCACCUGGAACAUACGACGCAGUUGGCGUCGUACCCCCGGCAUCCUCUCAAUGCGUCCCUGUGCAGGUGCUGCGCCGCCGCGUGGCCUUGGCUCUAGGCAACUUUGCUGAGGUGUCGACGUCAAGCCCCGCACUUACCCAGAUGCAGCUGGACGCAGACUCGAUUGUGUCACUCGGCAUGUCGUACGACAGUCUCCCUUGCCUGGCGGGAACUGUGUUUCUGUGUGUGCAGCUCCGUGCACGGCAGCAGGAGCAGUGCUAGCCGCGGCAGUGACGCAGGCGGAGUCGCGCGCAUCGCAGUCGGCAAGAACUUCGUAGUGUUAUCUGGACAGCCUGGCAAGACGUACUUCCUCCUCCGUAUACAGGCGGCAGCGAGGCAGCCGGCGGAUGUGCUACGCCACCCGUCCCUCUCUCCGUUGCGUUCCGUCAUCGUCACAGCAGAGGCUGUGGUGACCAUUCGCAACGCUGUUGGCGUUCCCCUCACAGUGACGCUGCUAACGCGUCGUACUCAACCAGGGAGGCGAAUCUCUUUGCUUGACACAUCCCCCGAUACGGCCGUCUACACAUGCGUGUGCUCCGUCGCUGUCGGCGUGGACGGAAGCUACGGAGCAACCGAGAUGGACCCACUGGAGGAUGUGUGCCUUAGUGUGUCGCUGCAGCAGCCCAAUGGCGUCACACUGGCGCAGUGGCCUACCGCGCCAGCGGCCGGCAUACCAACAGCGCAGCACCCACCGGCGUGCGUCCACGCACCUCUUGACAAGACGCGUCGUGACACAAAACUCGUUCUGGUAGACCCAGUCACCAACGAAACCCUUGUGCUUGCCAUCAAGUAUGCACAACGCGAAGUUACCUUGUACUGCCGUCACUGGAUCUUCAAUCAGACCGAUGUGCCGGUGCAACUGGCCGAUACGACAAGGCCGCAUCACGGCGACACGGAGCGGUGCAUCGUCCCGAUAGCGGGGCUGUCGGGGCGUACGGAGCGCACAGCGACGGUGUCGCCGUGGAAAUUUAACGCGCGCGGUGGCGGCACCCAGCUUGCUGCCGUGCACACAGGACCGUUUCUGUACCACAGCCUACAAGCGGAGUUGUGCCACAAAGACAAAAGCCACGCCGGAAGCAAAGGUCUUUUUUUGCGCCUCCUGGAGCCCACCGAGGCGGGAACAAGCGGUGGUGCUGCUCAGGCGCUGUGGUCGGAGUGGUCGUCGCAGCCGCUGCUGGUCCACGAGGCGGCAGAAGUGCAGGUGAUUGUCUGCGCCAGCCGCCAUAAGCGCGGGGCUGUGUGGGUUCUUUCGUGCCGCGUCGAGAUGGGCCAUCAGGCCUCCGUCCGUGCCUAUAGCGACACCCGUGUCGUGUCCAUUUUCCCGCGCUGGGUGCUGGUGAACAAGUCGCCGUACGCGCUGCGGUUUUCCCAGCACAGCAGCAGCGGUGGGUAUCACCCCCCAGCGCCGACAGCGCAAGCGGCACCCUUCACCAAGACGGUAGUCAGCACCCUCGUGGCACCAGCCAUGGCCGACGGCAGAGUGGAACCGCUUUUCUCCUUUGCGAUGUGCGACGACAAGGUGCACAACAUCGAGCAGUGCCUCUGGUCUCCGCCGUUUGCAAUCCACACGGUGGAGGAGCAGUACGUGAACCUGGUUUAUCAGACCCGUGGCUCACUGGCUGAGCACUGGCCGCAAACUUCUGCCAGGGCAGGGCAGCGGGCUGCGCAGGGUGUCGUUGACCGCCUGCCGCCGCUUCGCCCGGAGGACAUCCUUGAAGUGGGUGAGGAACUGUUCGUCAGACGGGAGGAGGCGAAGGUGUUCAACGUCAGGACAUACGAGCACAAGGGAUGCAUGAUAUGCGUGCAGGUGGAAGAAGCCGUGCAGCCGCCGCUGGUGCUGGAGAACCGCACCUCCUUCACGGUGUGCUUCCGGCAGCGCGGAGGGCGUCGCGUCUCGACAGUGUUCCCUCGGCGCCGCAAGGCGUGGACGUGGGACGCGCCGCCCGCAGCCGGGCGUCUGCCGGCUGAGGUAGAGCUCUGGGUCCUUACCGACGGUGUCGAUGGGACAGCGAACAGCGCGCAAGAGGCAACACCGGCAGCUGCAGCGUCGUGCGUGCUCAACUUCGACCCUCAGCAGAUCGGUUGCCGCUCCAGCACCGUCGACGCGUUCCAGUGCGAGCUCGAUGUGGGGGACAGCGCCACUGGUGCGUCAUCGCUGCUUUUUGUUCGUGUACGCGGUGUGCACGGCAUCAGCUACGCAGUGAGUAUCACGAUGGAGCCCACCGUUGAUGUCUACCGCACGCUGCCUUUCCCGCAGCUAUCGCUUGCGCUGCACCUCGCCAGCAUGUACGUCUUGUGCCGCACCACUGGCAAGCGGGAAGGGCAGCUGCAGGACAUGCUGCUCUUGGCCAUCCAACCAGUGGAUUUCUCCUUUGUACAGGGUGCGCGUGUCUCAAACGGCGCGAGUCGACCGUCGGCGACAGGGUCCUAUGAGGACGCGAAUGAGGGUGAUGUUCAGCAGAUUCAGCUGCGCUUCCGCAGCUUCCAGGUGGACGAUGAGCGGCCGUCUGCGAAGCAGCGCGUCGUCGCGCAGCUCGUCGAUGACCGGGAGAGCGGGUUUCAGAUUGAACGCAAGCUGCUCCGUAUCACGCCUAUUCUCUACUGCUCUGUUGUGGCUGCUUGGCUGACACCCGUGGAGCUGCACAUCGAAGACGGCUUCAUCACAGCCAUGAUGGGCUACGUUGAGGAGGUGGUGUCCAGCUGGGAGGCUCUACGGCCAUCGUCGUCGUGCAAACGCAUAGACUCUGCUAGCGCUGCUCAAGCGUGUCAAGCGCUGCUCUUUCCAUGGCAAGUCCGCCUCGAGCGGGAGCUAAUAGCCGCGAAGCAGCAUUUCGCAAAAGCGCAGGAGGACAGCGGUCAGACUUUGCGGCAUCGGCGAAGGUCCAGUGUACCGCUCUGGAGCCGGGUCGUUGCAAUUCAGCGACUUCUCGUUGACCCGCUACUCGUCUCCCUCUCGCUUUAUCGCUCACCUGGCGCGGCGGACGACCCGCUUUGGAAGUUGGCCGGUGCAGCCAGCCUCCUCAUCGGCUCGACACAGGACUCACGGCUGCAGUGGGACGCCGUUCAGCGGCGCAACGUGUGCGACACCAUUUGGCACCUUGCGUUCCUCUACCGUGACUCCUACGUGAAGCAGAUGAAAGGGCAGUACAUGAGCCUGGUGAAUAUCAUGGGGCUCGACACGGUGCGCAGCCUUGUCUCCGAUCUGCUGCACCCCUUCGGUGACGAGCACACCAACCGCCGUGGAGGCGACAAUGGUGGCCGCGGAGCGGUGCGGCGGCAAAAGCAGCGCGUGCCGUGCCGGCGAGCGGCAAAUCUUCUGCUCGACCAUGGCACCGGCGGAACUCGCUCUUUCUCUCGUGGUGCAGCCACGUCCCUGCGGCGGGCCAGUUUAGCUUCGGCCUCUGCGGGCCGCGUCUCAGACGAUAUGCGAGAGAUGGAAGAGGCAUUCUCUGCGACGACAUCGUGGCUGCUGCGCGUCCCUGAGCGUGUGGUGCAGGUCAGCUCGCAGCGCACGGCUACCGUGGCCGAGGUUGCUCGAAGCUACGCGUGGCACGACUUCAUGGCUGUUGCACAGACGCCAGAGAUCAGGGCGUUUGGCGGUUGCGCGCUGGCACACGCGCUGGCAGAGAUGCGGUGGACUCCACGGUACAGUCUUCAGAGAACGGAGGGAAGUGGGCGGCGACAAAGUGCAUCUGACUUUGUGCGCGCCACUCUUGAUUCUUGUCGGCGCGGCGCGGAAGGCUGUGCACUCCCGCAGGUCGACUGCAGUCGCUGCGCUGAGCUCGAGGCGCUUCGGGAGGCGCGAUUGCGCAGCCGCGAGCGAACACCGCUGCCGCAUCCUGUCCACGACGGCUUUCUUACCUGGGAGGAGUUCGCCCAUCACAUCAACUGGUACGAGUUUGUGGACAUGUGCAGUGACGAAGAAGUGCGCACAUACGCCCCGCUCGUCUGCCAAGGCGCCUCGGAGGCGUCCUGCAACGUGUGCAUCCUCACAGCUCUCUAGACACACAAAGAAAAAAAACGGAGAGAGCGAGGAGGAAGGCUCGGGCCUGCAUGCGCUAACCGCGUCACAGGCUUUUUAUGCAGCAGCAACGAGGACAGCAACUCUGCUGAUUCAGGAGCGCGUGUGAGGGAGAUGCUUGCGGGGAGGCAGCCUAUCCGGUCUUUGAAACUGCACUUGUAUGUGUAUGUGUGUGUGUGUGUGCGUGGUAGAUCUGAUAGGAAGCCUCCCUCCCUUCGUCUCUAUCUCACUCCACCUGCUUGCUGAUGUGUGUUUUGAUAUCGCCUUUGGUGAAGAUCACUGCACGCGCUUUCUUUGGUAUGCCGCAUACAAAAAGGAAAAGUGGCGUGCAGUGCGUAUCCGCCGUGGCACAAUGUCCACUUGG